ACUGGCGGUCAUAGCGGCGGGGCAACACCCGGUCUCGUCAGACCCCGGAAGUUAAGCCUGCCAGCGAUUCGGACUGUACUCUUGUGCGAGAGCCAAGGGGAACUCCGAGACGCUGCCAGUC
rnacentral:rRNA from 1 species